CUUUGAAAGGCUAUUGUAAGGGGAAGAAAGAGGGAAAAUCUGUUUCAGUAGGAGACCUUCUCACCUCUUUACUCAUAAGCCAGCCCGGGCAUCAUAUGACUUCAUCAGACUGCAACUUACUGUUCUCCCCUUUGUGGGGAGUGUCAAAUGCUAUAAUAGAGUUCUCCAGUCUGAGGUCAGCGAAAGCUUCUCAAAGGAGAUGAUGCCUGGCUAAAGGGACUUUCUUUCUGAGAAAGGGAUCAGCAUGUGCAAAGAUGAAGAGGCAUAAGGACUGACCAGUGGGUCACGGCAAUGAGACAUUUACUGCUGACCUCCAAGAGAAGACUUCCAUUGAAUGAGAGGAAGAUCUACACUACUAAUGAUCAAACUGUGAGUGUUUUAGCUUUGUAGACUUAUCAGGAACUUGGGAGAUCAAGAAGACAGGAUCAAACAGCAAAUGGAGCUUUAUCAGAAAUGAAGAAAAGCAUUUCUCCACAGUCCUAAGCUAAACCCUUUCUGCUAGUCCCAGUUCUUAUAUGUGCAUCAAGGCAAAAAAACAUUAAUCAGAACAGGAAUGUUUGAUUGCUCAUUCAAAUUUGAAAUAAGCAGCUUCCAUUCUUCUAACCUUCCCUGGUGGGGCCAUAACAUUAUCAAUCAAUAUCAAGUCUGGCAUAUCAUUGGCUAUCACUAUCCAGUGAGUAUCUGAGGCAGCUGAAAGAAAUUGGGGCAUCCAUGUAAGAAUAUUCAUUUUCUAUCAUUAUUUACUUAAAUAUGUAAUAUAUCAAGAUCUGUUAGACAUAUUUAAGUAUAUAUACUUAUAUGAGGUUGGGGGUCCCUGCAAGAAGUACCAAGUGUUUCUAGAAGAAAUGUACUUGAAUAUAAUCGCUGUAUAAUCACUGUGAGAACAGAGUUCCAUAUCUGUCCUGUACAUGCUUGUCUCUAG
rnacentral:lncRNA from 10 species